rnacentral:piRNA from 1 species
UAAUUGCCACUGCACCCUGAUUGCUGAAGUC